CGGAGGAUCCAAGCGUUAUCCGGAUUCAUUGGGUUUAAAGGGUGCGUAGGCGGAAUGAUAAGUCAGUGGUGAAAUCCUGCAGCUUAACUGCAGAACUGCCAUUGAUACUGUCAAUCUUGAGUACAUUUGAUAUGGGCGGAAUGUGUCAUGUAGCGGUGAAAUGCUUAGAUAUGACACAGAACACCGAUUGCGAAGGCAGCUCACAAAACUGUAACUGACGCUGAGGCACGAAAGCGUGGGUAUCAAACAGGAUUAGAUACCCUGGUAGUCCACGCUGUAAACUAUGAUUACUCGAUGUUUGCGAUACACUGUAAGCGUCUAAGCGAAAGCGAUAAGUAAUCCACCUGGGGAGUACGCUCGCAAGAGUG
rnacentral:rRNA from 1 species